UUGUAAAGGACCACUUUAGAAUUUUAAAGUUUUGGGUUAUUGGUAAAUAUUUGUAAAUGUUUGCAAUUUAUUUAAAUAAUUCUUAUUUAAAUAAUGAUAUUUGUAUGCGCUUCGAUGUUAUUUGUAUGUGAUUGACCGGAAAUUCUGUGCACCUGUAAUGUUGAAAUUUGUCCCUUUGGUGGCACCGUAGUUUGCACAAGGGAAGAUGAACCUUCAAGGUGGCUGUCGGGUGCGAAUGAUACGUAGCAUUGUUUGAGCUUAUAUGGAUUUUAUCUGAGAUUGUGUUUAUACAUGAACUUAAACAACUUGACGCCCGUUUUAUGACGGAAGAAAGGAUUAUCCUAUAUUGUUUUGCAUUCCUUGGUGAGCGCAGCGAGCCAGUGGUUACACAGAAAUGGACGAUCACUCAUGUGGAUUUUCCUCUCUCUUUUGAGACGACCAAACCAGAUCCAGUUUCAAUGCGUCCAUUCACUCACUGAUGAUGAUGAGGAUGAUGAAGAAAAGCAGCGUGAAGGGCCAAGAAAUAAAACGAUGCUGGAAACUCACAUUAUUAAAAAGAUCACAUUAAAAGAAUGAUUACACAACGAUUUUGUUCUUUUUCAACAUUUCCAUGCAUGCCUUUAAAGUUUCACUCUUUAGAUCAGGUUUAGAUCGAGUGAAAUGUAACACUAAUAAUAAAGAGAAUAAACAAUAAAUUAAAUUAUUAAUAAUAAUAACAACUAUGUGGCAAUAAAAAUAUAGAGGAAAAAAAUACGAAAAUACAAAAUUAUGACUGUGCAGAUGUGUUACACUGGCGCGACGAAGGGUGUUCCAAAUUUAAGUGUGUGGACUCCGAAGACCGCAUUUGAAGUGCGAAUGCGUCAACGCGGCGCGACGAAGGCUGACAAAUUUCGAAAGCAACUUCAAAUGCGCCCUUCAUUUCCCAUGAAAAUGAAGUGUACAUCUUAUGGACACUUCGCACCCUACCAUAUCCCAGAAUCACUUGCGUGCAUAUGACGAAGGUGUUUAUAUUCAGAGGCAGACGAGAGUUCUGUGGAGGAGACUGUAACGUUAUUAUCCAGUGAGUGAGGAUUGGCUGCGCUGUGUGCGAGAGGAGCGCGUGCUGGUUCCGAGCGGUUGUGGACGAUCGACUGUGGAUGGCGAGGCGAUUGGCUCCCAAGGCGGUUGGCAACAACUGGACUGUGAAUGGACAGGAGUAUGCAGAAGGAAGUGACGGUUCAGGAAAUGAAUUAGGAGAGAUGGAAGUAGGUAGCGGGAGUCAGGGGAUCAACUGUAGAAGAAACGAAGAGAGAGGAAUAUAAAGUGUUUGCAAAGCUUAUGCAUGAAGGAGACUCGUUUGAAGGUAUAAAUCCAAUACAGUUGACAAAAACGCCAAAUAAGGAAAUUGGUGAAAUAAAGAGUGCUAAAAUAUUAAGAAAUGGAUCAUUGUUCAUUAUUUGUAAAGAUGCAAAACAGCAAGGGAAAGUAAUCAGAAUGAACAAGAUAAAUGGAAAGAGAGUGGAGUGUUCUAUGGCUAAUGGCAAGAAAUUCGUAAAAGGGGUUGUCACAGGAAUUCCGGUAAACAUAUCGGUAGAAGAUGUGAAAGAAAAUAUAACAAAUGCAAAAGUAAGUGAAGUCAGACGUCUAAAAACAAGUAGGAACGGAAGUGUAAGUGAUAGCACCUCGGUUGUAAUCACUUUUGAUGAGGAAACUCUCCCUGGAAAGAUAUAUAUUGGAUACAUGUGUUACAAUGUGAGGCUAUACAUACCUCCUCCCAGGGGCGUAGCAACCGGGGGGGACGGGGGGGACGGGGGGGACACGUCCCCCGCACUUUUAGAAACAGGUGAUUCUGACCUCUGCUAAUUUUUAGGAUCCAGCGUUCCAGGAUUCCAUUAAACAAAAGAUCAUUCACCUUUAUUUAUAUAGUGCUUUUAAUAAUACAGAUUGUAUCAAAGCACUGAAUAGUAUCAAAUAGGAGAAUAGAGCAAUUU
ensembl:lncRNA